GACGAACGCUGGCGGCGUGCCUAAUACAUGCAAGUAGAGCGCUGAAGGAGGAGCUUGCUUCUCUGGAUGAGUUGCGAACGGGUGAGUAACGCGUAGGUAACCUGCCUGGUAGCGGGGGAUAACUAUUGGAAACGAUAGCUAAUACCGCAUAAUAUUGACUAUUGCAUGAUAGUCAGUUGAAAGGUGCAACUGCACCACUACCAGAUGGACCUGCGUUGUAUUAGCUAGUUGGUGGGGUAACGGCUCACCAAGGCGACGAUACAUAGCCGACCUGAGAGGGUGAUCGGCCACACUGGGACUGAGACACGGCCCAGACUCCUACGGGAGGCAGCAGUAGGGAAUCUUCGGCAAUGGACGGAAGUCUGACCGAGCAACGCCGCGUGAGUGAAGAAGGUUUUCGGAUCGUAAAGCUCUGUUGUAAGAGAAGAACGAGUGUGAGAGUGGAAAGCUCACACUGUGACGGUAUCUUACCAGAGGGACGGCUAACUACGUG
rnacentral:rRNA from 1 species